AGAGAUGGAAGAAUUUAGUAGUCACUCUCUUAGUAGUGGGGAGCGAAUGAACUGGAAGGGGCAGGGGAGGAACGUGAGAGAAGCGGUGGCCUCAUAGGGAGUGGGAAUCCGGAUGAAAGCCCCCUUGUUGUGAGAGGAGAGGAGAACUGAAGAAGCUGAACUUCCCCAGCCUGUGGCAGUGAGCGAGGGAAAUGAUGCAAUCAAGUACUUUCAGAAAGCACUUCUGAUGCCAUGUGUCACAAGUGACAGAAAUACGAUACUCUCUCUGCCAACACAUGCUUCAGAAUGUA